UACGUAGGGUGCGAGCGUGUCCGGAAUUAUUGGGCGUAAAGAGCUCGUAGGCGGUGUGUCACGUCGGCCGUGAAAACCUGCAGCUUAACUGUGGGCGUGCGGUCGAUACGGGCAUCACUGGAGUUCGGCAGGGGAGACUGGAAUCCUGGUGUAGCGGUGAAAUGCGCAGAUAUCAGGAGGAACACCGGUGGCGAAGGCGGUUCUCUGGGCAUGUCCUGACGUGAGGAGCGAAAGUGUGGGGAGCGAACAGG
rnacentral:rRNA from 1 species